rnacentral:piRNA from 1 species
UACCAACCAGUCAUGUUUGGUUCUAUCCUA